rnacentral:lncRNA from 1 species
UUAUUUAUUUAUUUAUUUAUUUAUUUAUUUAUUUUAAGACAAGGUUUCAGUAGGUAGUCAGGCUUGCCUUGAACCCACAAGACCUGCCUCUGCCGCCGCCUCAGUACUGGAGGUGAACCGGUGUGUUACAAUGACUGGCACAAAAUACAGAUUUUUAAAAGAUGGAGAAGAUUCAUGAAUCACCCCACCCAGUUUAAAUCUUGCCUCACAUAUCUCACUCCAAUGAGCUAGCUGCUCGAGUUCCUUUCAGUCCAGCCAGGCUCCCAAACCUCCGUGAUUAGAUUAGCCUAUUUAACAAACUCUACAACAGAAGAACAGAGCAAGUCCUCACAGAGUAGGUGACUCCAAGUUCCUGUGCAGGUCAGGGCUUGAUCAGAUUCAAAGCCAGGGUAAAAAACCAGGCAGCAGGAAUCACAGUGAAACCAGAAAACAAUUCUUUAUAGAAGUCCUCUGAAACUGUGCGUGGCUUUCCCUUUAAGUCAGACAGAGCAUGGAAGCACUGGGCUCAGCACUAAUUUUCACUCAGGAAGUUGUGAAGACACCUGUAAUCCCAGCACUCAGGAGGAAGAGGCAGGUGGAUCUCUGAGUUUGAUAUCAGCCUUGUCCACAUAACUGAGCUUCAGGACAGCCAGAGCUACAAAGUCUUGGAAAAAAAAAAAGACAAACCCAGCAAACAAAACAAACCAACAACAACAAAAAAAAGAUUUUGGUCUCAUGAAAGGAAAUAAGGAAAUGGAACAGAAGUGUUUGUAAGUAAUUAGGUAUAUCUUAUACAAUGCUGGCAAGUGUUUGUACACAGCAGGGCAAAAGCUAGACCAGGAUAGAAAGAAUGUGGAGGAGAAGGCGGUCACCUUCCAUAAAGAAAUGUAAAAACCAGAGCCACACUCUGGAGGAAGUACUUUUUAGAUAAAUCAGAGCAGUAGGGAGGGACUGACCUUUCUCCUAGAGGCAAGAAGAGUUCCAGCCUUUUUAGGAAGACUUUGGGAGAAGUUUGCCAAAGGGGCAUGAGAAAGCUUUCUGGUUCUGUUCACAUUAUAUCCAUGGGUUGCAAAGUUCUAGGAGGUUCUCUAGAUGGAUGGACAACAGUCCAUCAACAAGAAGCAGACAGGCACUGGUGCAGAGAUGAGACUGUGGUCUCAGAAGAUCCUGAAGAAAAAAGAAUAUACAUCACCAACAAAAACCAUCAGAGAGGAAAUCAAGAGCCAUAUUAGCAGUAAGUUAUUUCUCAGAGUUAUCUCAGGGAAAUCCUACAAUGAGUACUAGAAACUGCAACACUAGUCCAGCCUCUCUUCUUCGUCUGCCAAAUUUACAUAGGGACUGUGAACAUAUGUCAAUUUACAUAGGGACUGUGAGCAUGUGUCAAUGGUAGGGGGCUUGCCAAGCAUGUACAAGGUUCUGUUUUUGAUCUCCAGAACU